rnacentral:rRNA from 1 species
CACGUAGUUAGCCGGAGCUUUCUUGAAAGGUACCGUCACUCCUAAGUCAUUUCCUACUUAGGUCGUUCUUCCCUAACAACAGAAGUUUACAAUCCAGAGGACCGUCAUCCUUCACGCGGCAUUGCUCGUUCAGGGUUUCCCCCAUUGACGAAUGUUCCUAACUGCUGUCUCCCGUAGGAGUCUGGGCCGUGUCUCAGUCCCAGUGUGGCCGAUCACCCUCUCAGGUCGGCUACGCAUCGUCGUCUUGGUAGGCCAUUACCCCACCAACUAACUAAUACGGCGCGGGCUCAUCUUCAAGCGAAGCUUUAAAGGCUCCUUUUAAUAUAGAAAGACGUAUCAUUCAUAUAUCAUCCGGUAUUAGCAAUCAUUUCUAACUGUUAUUCCAGACUCAAAGGUAGAUUACCCACGUGUUACUCACCCUUGCCGCCACUAAGCAGGAAUCCAAAAUCCGAAUUUUGUGCAAAGCACGCAAUCUUCAAUGGGCUGCUUCGUCGACUUGCAUGUCUAGGC